rnacentral:rRNA from 1 species
GAUGAACGCUGGCGGCGUGCCUAAUACAUGCAAGUCGAGCGAACAGACGAGGAGCUUGCUCCUCUGACGUUAGCGGCGGACGGGUGAGUAACAUGUGGAUAACCUCCCUAUAAGACUGGGAAAACUACGGGAAACCGGAGCUUAUACCGUAUAAUAUAUUGAACCGUAUGGUUCAAUAGUGAAAGUCGGUUUUGCGGGCAGUUCUAGAUGGUUCCGCGCCGGAUUAGCUAGUUGGUAAGGUAACGGCUUACCAAGGCAACGAUGCGUAGCCGACCUGUGAGGGGGGUAGGCCACACGGGAGCUGGAACGCGGUCCAUGCGCCUACGGGACGCACCAGUAGGGAAUGUUCCGCAGUGGGCGAGAGCAUGGCGGAGCGGCGCGGCGUGAGUGAUAGAGGUCUUCGGAUCGUAAAGCUCUGUUAUUAGGGAAGAACAAAUGUGUAAGUAACUAUGCACGUAUUGACGGUAACUAGUCAGAAAGCCACGGCUAACUACGUG